AUUGAAAUACCAGUUCCCAUAUAAUCACCAAAGUUAAGCAAUAUUGAGCCUGGUCAGUAUUUAGAUGGGUGCCUACUUAGGAAUACCAUGUGCU